CAGCCUUCUGAUUUUGUGUGGUGGUGUUCUGUGUGUUGUGGCUGUCUCAGCUGUGACACCAGGUAACAUCCUCGGACACAGAAAAUAUCCUUACACACACAGACAGACUCUGGGAGUUAACAGAGUUGACAUCCUUGUUAAACAUUCAUCUUCAGAUAGCAACAUUCUUUCACCUAAAUAUUCUACUGUGAUGGAUUAAAGAGAUGAAAGGAAAAAUUCCACCACUCUGCUCCCUAAAGGAUGCUUCUCCUGAGGAAGUCGUUGUGGCUUCAAACUCUUACAUAUGGAAUUGUGCACGCAUACUUAAUGCUGUGGUCCUGGGAGAGAUGUCAGCAAUUUAUAUCUCCAUCUGCAAUAAGUUAUGAGCACCUGCAUCAGCUCAAGCAUGCAGUGUGUGCAGGCCCUGCUCCAUCCUGCUGCCUCCCCAGGCUGACAUUUAUGGAGGCAGCCCAGUGCCUCUGGACAUUGACGUCAGGCUCUUGUCCAGGGCCUCCCCUGAGAAAUGUGGGCAGUCGAGGGCAGCAUCCACCCCAGCAGAAGGGGUGGGUCACCUUCUGGGGAAAAAAUGUGAUCUGUUGGUGAUUAACCUGAAAAAAAACCAACAUAAAUGUUCAUAGUCUGAAUGACUUCUUAGAGGCAGUUCAGAGAGCUCUGCACAGCAUCAUGGUUCCUCUGCUGCAGAUUUUUGCAUGCUAGGAUGGUAGAGCUGCUAGGUGGGGCCUCUGUCAACAAACAGAGCAAUCACUUCUCAUGUAUAUUUCUGGUUAAAUCCAAGUUAAAUUCUCAUUUUAAACAAUUUAAAAUGAGAUUGUAGCUUGUUGUCACCAAAUGUUAAGUUAUCGUAAAAUAAAUAUUUGAAAUUCUA